rnacentral:rRNA from 1 species
UACGUAGGGGGCGAGCGUUGUCCGGAAUCACUGGGCGUAAAGGGCGCGUAGGCGGCUUGAUAAGGUUGCGGUGAAAGCCCGGGGCUCAACCCCGGGUCGGCCGUGGCAACUGUCGAGCUGGAGCACUGUAGAGGCAGGUGGAAUUCCGGGUGUAGCGGUGGAAUGCGUAGAGAUCCGGAAGAACACCGGUGGCGAAGGCGGCCUGCUGGGCAGUGGCUGACGCUGAGGCGCGACAGCGUGGGGGAGCAAACAGG